rnacentral:rRNA from 1 species
AGUGAACGCUGGCGGUAGGCCUAACACAUGCAAGUCGAACGGCAGCACAGUAAGAGCUUGCUCUUACGGGUGGCGAGUGGCGGACGGGUGAGGAAUACAUCGGAAUCUACUUUUUCGUGGGGGCUAACGUAGGGACACUUACGCUAAUACCGCAUACGACCUACGGGUGAAAGCAGGGGAUCUUCGGACCUUGCGCGAUUGAAUGAGCCGAUGUCGGAUUAGCUAGUUGGCGGGGUAAAGGCCCACCAAGGCGACGAUCCGUAGCUGGUCUGAGAGGAUGAUCAGCCACACUGGAACUGAGACACGGUCAAGACUCCUACGGGAGGCAGCAGUGGGGAAUAUUGGACAAUGGGCGCAAGCCUGAUCCAGCCAUACCGCGUGGGUGAAGAAGGCCUUCGGGUUGUAAAGCCCUUUUGUUGGGAAAGAAAAGCAGCAGGUUAAUACCCCGCUGUUCUGACGGUACCCAAAGAAUAAGCACCGGCUAACUUCGUG